UUUAAAGCAAAUAUCCAAGUAAACAAAGCAGCAGAUUAUUGUUUUCUAAUGGAAACAGUGCUGAAUUCGCUUAGGAAGAAAAGACUAUUCUAGUUUGUAUGUGUCAGUCUCCAUAAAAGUAGUGGCCCUGCCCUGCUUCUUAAUUCUCAACACUUUCUUGGAUGUGUUAGUUUUGGACAAAGUAGGUCAACUAUCUUCAGACUGCACUGGUCUUCCUUUGGGGGAAAAAAUAAAAUUAUUAUGUGUGCCACUUCACAUGGAGUUCCCGUAAUCUACGAACUGUCCAAAUUCUGCUAUCCACAUCACUGAAAUUAGUCC
rnacentral:lncRNA from 1 species